UGCUGAGAUAGCUCAGUGGGUAGAGCAUGAGACUCGUAAUCUCAGGGUCAUGGGUUUAAGCCCCACUCUGGGAA